rnacentral:rRNA from 1 species
AGAGUUUGAUCAUGGCUCAGAACGAACGCUGGCGGCGUGGAUAAGACAUGCAAGUCGAACGCUAAUUAGAGGGUAGCAAUAUUCUCUAGUUGGAGUGGCGCAAGGGUGCGUAACACGUGGGUAAUCUGCCGUGAAGCCUGGGAUAACUCGCUGAAAGGCGAGCUAAUACCGGAUGUGACUGUUGGAAGGCAUCUUCUGACAUUUGAAGCUGGGGACCGUAAGGCCUGGCACUUCAUGAUGAGCCCGCGGCCUAUCAGCUAGUUGGUGAGGUAACGGCUCACCAAGGCUUAGACGGGUAGCUGGUCUGAGAGGACGACCAGCCACACUGGAACUGAGACACGGUCCAGACACCUACGGGUGGCAGCAGUCGAGAAUUUUUCACAAUGGGCGCAAGCCUGAUGGAGCGACGCCGCGUGGGGGAUGAAGGGUUUCGAUCCGUAAACCCCUGUCAUUUGCGAACAAACCUCGUCCGAUAACACCGGACGAGCUGAUAGUAGCGGAAGAGGAAGGGACGGCUAACUCUGUGCCAGCAGCCGCGGUAAUACAGAGGUCCCAAGCGUUGUUCGGAUUCACUGGGCGUAAAGGGUGCGUAGGUGGCCGGGUAAGUUCGGUGUGAAAUCUCGGAGCUCAACUCCGAAAUGGCAUCGAAUACUAUCCGGCUGGAGGGUCGGAGGGGAGACUGGAAUUCUCGGUGUAGCAGUGAAAUGCGUAGAUAUCGAGAGGAACACCAGUGGCGAAGGCGAGUCUCUGGACGACUCCUGACACUGAGGCACGAAAGCCAGGGGAGCAAACAGGAUUAGAUACCCNNGUAGUCC